rnacentral:rRNA from 1 species
GGACUACUGGGGUAUCUAAUCCUGUUUGCUCCCCACGCUUUCGUGUUUCAACGUCAGAAAUGGACCAAGAAGCUGCCUUCGCCAUUGGUGUUCCUCUCGAGAUCUACGCAUUUUACCGCUACUCCGAGAAUUCCGCUUCUCUCUUCCACCCUCUAGCACGCCAGUUUCUACUGCUUGCCUCCGGUUAGGCCGGAGAAUUUAACAAUUGACUUAACAUGCCGUCUACACACCCUUUACGCCCAAUAAAUCCGAAUAACGCUUGCACCACUCGUAUUACCGCGGCUGCUGGCAC